UUCUCUACACCACAGCCUCCUAGUGGAUUCCCCGUGGCAGCCAGGGGUGUCCCCUCCCAGGCACUGAAGCUGGCGCAUGUGGGGAGACACAGGUGUCCAGGUGUCCUAUGGGGGUCCCUGGAGCACCUGCCUCACUCCGCCCGGGUCCACCCCACACUCUGCUAUCCCUGAGGGUCACUCACAUCAUGGUGAACAGGUCCCGGAGCCUCGGUUUCAGGGUG
rnacentral:lncRNA from 1 species